GAGACAGGAUGGGGACUGUCCCUGAGAGCCCCCCAGGGUCCUGCAGGCCACUGGCAGGGACAAUGGGCUGCAGCACCUGGCACCGCCCCCCCACCCCCCGGAGUAUGUGCUUUGCUUCCUGGAGUGGGGGCCCUUGUUUGUUUCCACACCAACCACAGAUGGAUCAGGCAGCCUCCUUGCACACCUGCAGGUUGGGGGACCCCACACUCAGGCUCACAUGCAAAGGCCAAGUGCCAGGCGGGGCCAGCGCACCCUUCAGGUCUGGGUGCAGGUGUUUCCUCCCAGGCUGAGUGUGGCCCCAUGCCUUCUCAGCACCCAGCGCCAGAUGCAGGGGCUGGCUAACUCACAUCCUGUCCCACAGCCGUGGCUCCAUGAACACCGGAGCUGCAUCUGUCCAGGGUCCGGGCAUGGCAGCCACUCGUCUUUCCCACUACCUCCCUUUGCUCAAUCAGGCCGCACCGGUAAGGGAGGGGUCAUGGAGGGCGGUGCUGGGCAGGGCACAGGCGAGCCGCAGUAGCCCUCGGAAGGAUCAGCACACUGGGCUGGUACGGCCCCGCCCCCGCCUGCAAAGCAGCAGAGAGACCAGUUUGCCAGUCGCCCAUGUUCCAGAUGUUCUUUCAAAGGCUCCCAGUCUGGGAAGGCCGUGGGACACAGGCUACCCUUCAAAGUCAGCCUGCCCCCCCUUCUUCUGGUGCUGCACAUGGGGGGUCUGGCUCCCUGGUUUCAGGAAGUUACACAACCCUGGCCAGUGCCCUGCGGCCCCAUCUACCACCCUGGCACAGCCCCUCCUUCUGGGACCCAGCCCCCACCUCCCUGGAAGCAGUUGAGAAGGCUCGUGUAUGGGACAGGACAUCGCUGGGUGCAGGACCCAACCCGACCAUGCAUGUGCCCCAGAAACAACGUUUUUUGCAGGGGAAGAACCAGGCUCAGGCCACACGCCCCGGACCUCGGCAAGGAGGGCAGUGCCUCAUGCAGGACAGGCCAAAGGCUCUGUCCCUGGUUGAGCACCCCAUCGUCACUGGUUCCGGUCUGUUCCAGCCAGCAGUUCCUGCGCAAGCCACAGAAGGGGUCCUGGUGCUGAACACAAAAGCGAACAUCUUGGGUUCUGCGCAGGGCAUCCCUGGCUCUCCCUCUGGUCUGUCUUGGCUGGUCACUGUGGCUGUACACCUGUCCCCAGACCAGGUCUGGUUGGGCUCUCCCCAUGCUGGACAAGUGAACUUCGUCCCAGAAGCCAGAAGCCCCACUUGCUGCCAUCCUAUGUGAGGAAAGACUCGACAGUGUGUUGAAUGGUGGCCCCAAGAACGAGAUGCCCACCUCCCAGAACUUGGGAGUGGGAUUCUUAUUUAGGAAGAGGGUCUUGGCAGAUAGGACUAAGGAUCUUGAGAUGAGAUCAGCCUGGGUUAUCCAGGGGCCCUAAGCCCAGGGCAAAGAUCCUUGUAAGAAAGAGAAAGCCACGUGAAGCAGCAGCAGGCUGGAGCAAUGUGGCCCCAGAGCACCUGGAGCCUCCGGACGCUGCAAGAAGCCAGGAUGGGUUUGUCCUGGAGGGAGGUCAGCCCUACAACACCUUGAUUUCAAGCCCGUGAUAAUGAUCUUGGACUUCUGAUCUCCAGAACUGUGGGGAAAGAAACUUCUAUUGUAUUAA